GCCACCUUUUGCACCUCUGUGGACUUCCACAGGGUUCCUAUUGUACCUCCUACAUGCAAAUAGAAGUAAUUAAGUCUGUUUUCCACCACUGCAUUUCUCACCACCCUCACAGAAAGAUUUUGAGCCAGAUGGCCUAGCUAUAGCCCACACUCAAAUGUGGCUUAGCAGUGGCUUACUGGUUAACUCUUUUACUGUACAGUAAAGAAGUCUGUGAUGCUUCCCACAUGUUGUCCUGGAUGGGUGGUACAACGCAGGCAGACCAUUUAGCUGGGUUAUGUCAUAUAUUUGAAGCAGAAUUGGCAGCACUCUCUGUGGUUAAGCUAACCUAAUGUUUUCUGUCCUCAGAUCUCGUUUCCUAUAGUCACUAAAUUUUUGAUCUUUCAGGGUGAAAUUUUUCAAGAUAGCAUUUGAAAAACUUUUGUUUAGAAAGAUGUUAUUCCUGUUGCUGACACAGUCACUCCAUCUCUCCAUCCAGAGAUGAAGAACACAUGAAACUGAGAGUAGCGUACAAGGAAGAAGGAAGGGCAUGCCAGGAGGGCAGGCCAGUUGUUGCCAAGUGAAAGCAGGCAGAACGGACGUGCUGCUGGUGUACAGCAGCUCAGAGCCAGCUUCAACCAGCUGGCCCAGGUCUGUGCUGCAGCUAACUGAAGGGAAGAGAGACAACCAGCUGCUGUGAGAAGCCUGCACUGAACUACAAAUGCUCUAAAAUUACCAUGAAUUCACUGUUAAGAUGACUUUCUUCUAUCAUUGACUGUCACCUCACUGCUCAGUGUCCUGCUAAAGAACAGUUUUCUUGAGAAUGUGAGCUUGUGGCUGAUCUCCUGAUGCCACAGCGCAGUUACCGGGAUUCUCUGAAGUGACCUUUAUUUUCCAGUGACAUUGAAAUAAGUUACCACUCCCCGAUAACAUCAUAGAAAACAAAAUUAACAUAGUUUAUGCUAUUUGGGUAGGAUUUCUGGAGUGGGUGUGUUUGUCCUUGCCUCCUUGGCUGUUUUCCUUCCACAAGCAGAACUCCAUAUUUAAAGAUGCAAGUACAAGAUCUAAUAAUAAGUGUUUAAGAUAAUAAGAUAAUAAUAAUAAGAUAAUUAUGCCUAGCUAACGGUUGGCUGUUGAGCAAUUGGCAAUACUUGGGUUGAGAUCAGUUUAGUUAUUGUAAGUAGGAGAAACAGAGAAAGGUCUUCCAUUUUCAAUCUUGCUUUCAUUUCCAUAGAGUACCGUUUUGUAUUCUGUUGCUGUACUGCCAUCUUGGACAACUUUGAACAAAUAACUUUUCCUUUUAGUACCUCGUUUCCUUCCCUGUCAAAUAAGGCCGAUCCUUGCCUCCUUGGUGAAGUGCUUUGGGAAAUACUAAUGAGAAAUUCUCUGCCUCUCUUCCCUUGCCGUGCUUUAAUGAGUAGCUGUGAAGACCACUCAAUGCUCAGUGUUCUGAUGAAGAAUUAAGUGUGCGCCAGCCUUCUUGAACAAGUUAAUGAUUGAUCCAUGCCACAUACUCAGUAACUGUACAGCUUAGAAGAAUCCGUCGCUCUCCUGCUGCAAGUAAGUCAGUCUGUGUACUUCCUGAAGAAAUGCUCUUCAUAGCAUAGGUAUAUUCAUCUCCAUGUGCCCAGCCCAUGUCAGGUAACCGAAGUUAGGAAGUAAAUCAGUCUUUUACCUCUGAGUCAUAGCUUUUCUUUAUAUGUUUGCAGAAGGAAAACCCGAUGUUUACAAGAGCACAAAAUCUGGAAGGUGAUCUGACUACUUCAUUUCUCCUGGGAAUGAAGGAGGGGACUAUCAGCUAUUGACCUACUUGUGAAGAGAAUGAUUUCACCGAGACCAAAACACUAAACAAGCUCCUGACAGACCCUCAUCCUGCACGCAGCAGCCUGCAGUUCUCCAGUCACAGAUGGCAAAAGUUCAGAUGUUCUUUCUCCAAGAACCAUCUCCCAGUUAAACAAAAGAAUGGAAGCUUUCCAGCACCAUUGCUAGAUAAAUGAACCUAAACCCGGGUCUCACAAAAGCAUAGCUGCUUUCAGGUUGGAUUAGGAAACAUUUGUGCUCAGCAAUAGUGGUGCUGCAGUGGCACAGGCUGCCCAGGGAAGUCGUGGAGUCACUGUCCCUGGAGGUGUUCCAGAACUGCAUGGAUAUGGCACUGAGGGAUGUGGUCAGUGAGCAUGGCUUAGGUUAUCUUAGUGGUCAUUUCCAGCCUUAAUGAUUCUAUGAUUCCUAGUGCUUGUUUCAGCAUUAAUUAAUAUUUCCAGUGGGAGGGAACAGCUCUGGCGUGAAUGAGCCCCAUUAGUUGGAAUUACUAUCGAUGUGAGGAUUGCAGAUCUGUCCCUGGCAUCAAAGCUCGCUUUUAAGUGAUAAACGUCUUUGAGAACAUUCUCGUCGGAAGAAGGUUAAUGUGUUCUGGCCAAUUUCUUCCACGUUCACUGCUCAGUCCUACGGGCAAUCCUAAGCCACCUUCCAGACAAAGCAGUUCAGAGUUGAAGGACGGCAGAAGGCAGCACGCGGUGAGAAGAAACAAAUAGCGGUGACAUGGGGAGGGGAGCCCUCAACUCGCUUGAGCAAGCGCUGCGCUGCCACACCAGCCGUGUCCGAGGGAACCCGGCUCUCCUGUGAACCCGCCGCUCUGAGGAAGCGGCGCCGGGCCGGGGAAGGCCGGGAGGAAGCAGCGCAGGUGCAGCGCCCGCCGCCCCAACUUCCUUGUGGGAGAACCGUGUGGCGGCAGCAGGCCCGGGGAAGUUUCCUCACAGCCCGGGCUGGGCGGCGGCCGCGGGCUCACCAUGUCAACGGGGGUGCGGCGGGCGCCUGGCAGGAUGAGCGGAGCCGACGGCAUCAACUUCAGGCGGGCGGCCAUCCGCAGGAAAUCCACGCCGGGUCUCGGCCCCGUUCCCUACAGAGCGGCGCCCACCCUCCUCGCCGGCGCCCCACGGGGUGAGCCCGCCCGGAGCUCGCCCGCAGCAUUGAGUCAGUGAUUACCUGUUUGGGAGAUGAGGGCAAUCGAUGCAAAUGUUACCUCAAAGUUCCCAGAAAAUAAGGAACACCUUUAAAAAAUGAAAGAAGAGAGUCGGGAAUUAAAAUCUACCAUUAAUAAAAGAAAAACUUCUCUAAGAGGAAGGUGUCUGAUGGUCGGUGUCUGCUGGCUCACAGUGCUCUUAUCACAUGGGCAUCUUCAGCGAGCUGCCACGCUGCUUUGUUGUGCCAAGCAGAAUGGCUUCCUCAUGCAUUUGCUCUGUCAUGGGUAUUACCAUAUAGCAGGUUUUUUUAAGCAGCUUUUAUUAUAGUCAUACAAUGCUCCCUAUAUAUAAAAUAGUGGGCCGUUGUAAUCCCUAAUGUGAUUUGAUAGACUGGACUUGAUGUAGGUGUUUGGAUAUGGUUGGGUGUGGGCAUCAUUUCAAUUUAGGCAUUUGGAUAUUAAUCAUUAAUCAUACCUUCAAGUAUUAAGCCUUCAUUUGUAUAAUGUUAUUUUUUCAGGGAUUAAGCCUGACUUUCUGUUCUUCAUAUUAACAAAUAAAGGUCAGGAUCAAUAUCUCGUAGCUGUUGCUUUUUGUCUUUCGUUGGAUAUAAGCAUGUCUGCCAUAUGGAGUUUAUGGACAAACAGGGAAAAGGACUACACAAACUGAGAUUAUUCUUCAGGAUUAUCUGCCCUCAUGUCUUAAAGGUCCCUUCCAACCCAAACCAUUCUAUGAGUCUAUGUAUGUUUAAUUAAUGUUACCUGCCUGCCCUAUUAAAGUGGCUGUUUUGCACAUGAGACCAAAGAUAUGGAAGACAACGAAGCCACCAGUGUUUUAUCUUUGGCUUUGGAAUACAUUCUGUUGAUGAUAAUGUGAAAGACAAGCUAGUUUUAUUUUAGAUAGCAUAUUAAUUUGAGUAGAAAAUGUGCAUACUUAUCUACUAGAUGUAAACAGUGAAUUUUGAUACUGAAGAUGAUAGUUAGUGCAUAUCUGGUAUUGUAAGGUAACUCAAUAGAUUAAGGAAAAGAAGUUGCUGGCAGUAAAUUUUCCUGUCCAUUUUUAUUCCUCCCUCCAUUAAAAUUCAGGAGGGACUUGCACUUAUCUGUUGUCACAGAAAUCAAAUCCAGAAAUGUAUCAAGAGCCUCAAAUCUUUUCUAAAGCUGAAGCUUUUGAAAUAACUCUUUGCAAAUGGUUACUGUAACCUUGCUUAUAACAGUGUAGGGCACUGCCAAGUGCUUAAUUUAGCAGAAGAUUACUGUGGGCUGUCUUUUUGAUUCUGGAGUUGUGGUUACAAUGAUUAUGAAUAUAAAAUAAUGUAUAAACUUAUGACAAGAAUCUCUUUUUUUAUAAAUCUAAAGCUGAAUUUUAUUCAACUUCAGUUAAGUUAAUUUUAUUUAUAGCAAAGUUAAUGUUACAGCAGCAUAACCUGAGAAACUCAUUAGAGAUAGUAAACUCUUUAUACGUGGUGGGAGAGGCAGCCUGGUAGCUGUGUUGGUGAUACACAGAGUGCUUUUGACCAUGUUGAAGAACACAGUGAGUUACAAUGGAGCUCAUGUCUCCAAAUGCUGCCCUUGCCCUGUCUGUUACCAAAGAAAACUGUUUUGCAUACUUCCCCGUAUCUUCUUUUUGUGUGUGUUUGUUCCAGUGAAGUGCCUCAUUCAGCACUGUUUUUAAUCAAACACAACACGGAGUGACAUGAAGAAGAACUUCACCUGAGGGGAAUGUUCAUGUGUUGACCUUGUUUGAACUCUUUUGAAAUGUUUUAGGGCUGGUGUACAG